ensembl:lncRNA
AAGAACCAUGUUUUCUUCUUCUGGAAAUGGAUGUGUUUUCUCUUCACAGAUCCCUUGGGUCGGCAUUCAGGGCCUCUCCAGAUGCCCUCACCCACCUGGGUCACAUUGGUCUCCAAGCUCUGUAUCAGCAUCUCCCCAGCCUCUUGUCUCCAGCUCCUCCCUCUGUGGAAAUCUCCUCACCCCUCGAGGAUCCCCAGUCAGAAUCGCUCCCCCGACACACACACAUUUCAUGGUCUGUGAGCGGGUCCUGUGAACACUGCAGUCGUUCUCUCAACUCAGCCUUACAGCAUCCACUUCCGUUUCAUGGGCAAAGGGGCUGAAGCUCAAAGAAGUGGGAGCAGAGAAAAGAUUUGAACAAAGAGGUCACUCAACAGUGUGGAUGAAUCUGCAAACUAGCAUGCUGAGUGAGGAGAAGCCAGAUAUGAAACAAAUUUUGGACAGCUCUUCUAAUCAUUUUCUGCUAGAAUCUGAGGCACGAACUCCUCACUGGAGGAACUGAAGGAAGAGACAGGAGAGGGCAAUUGGAAGGGACAAUCCUGGAGGUGGCCUGCCUACCCUCUUCGAAGACAUAAGGCAAGAUGGCCAUGAUGCACCUGGGUCAUAGAUACCUGGGUGGAAGCCCUGCUCUACCCUUGCCAGCCAUGUGAUCUCAGGAGGGAGACAACUUCUCUGAACUGAACCUGGGUCCUCAUUUGUCACAUGGAGAUACUAAGAAUUAAAACUGCAUCAUUAAAAAAGCACUGCAUUAUAGAGUUAUCG